GCAGACACAUUCCAGCCAAUCAGCAGCAGACCCUCCCUCCCAGACCCUCCCACCUCCUGGACAGCAUACAUUUUGAAGCUGCAUUCUUAGUGAGCUGUCCAGGAGGUGGGAGGGUCUGGGAGGGAGGGUCUGCUGCUGAUUGGCUGGAAUGUGUCUG